CUCCUGCACACCCCUUACAGGGGAACGAUCCCACAACCCGGGCUUGUGCCCUUGGCUGGAAUCAAACCCAGGACCCUUCAGUCCGCAGGCUGACACUCUGUCUACUGAGCCGAACCGGCUAGGGCAACUUCGUUUAUUUUUGAUGAUUCUACACCUCCCCAUGAACCUCAAAUAAGGAGGAAACUUAAUAGUGACUUCAAGACUCAAAUCUCAGAGUGAAUUUCCUUGCAUCUAGCAAGAAUGAGCAGUCAGAUUUAUCAUCCACGUUAAAAUGUAGAGUGAGGCCUCUGACUAGCUGAUUGUGUAUUUUGCUGGAAUCAGUAUUUUUUGAAUGUUUACAAAAGAUUGGGCUGCAUGUUCAGGUUGCGGCUAGAGGGAGCUUGGGCAGAUUUUCAAUUAUGCUUUCAAGCUGUAACCAAAGGGUGUUUCUAAAUCCAAAAAUUAGAAUUUUAACAGAGCCCUCUUUAAAACUGUCAUGUAAUGCUUGUUGUAGGCCAACAGAGGGGCUGUGUACUUUCUCUAAAAACAAACUCCAAAUAAUUCGUAAUAUGCAGUAAUGAGCAAAAUUAAAAUAAGAGCUGUUGGAAUUUAGCUUUCAAAAGUGGUAAGUUGGAUAGGUUAACAAGACAUACUGUUACAUGAUGAGUUUGUUUUCUGCUUUAUAAUUAGCCAAAGUUCAAAUUAUCACAUUUCAGAAUUUUUUUAGCCAGCCUAUGGGUAGGCCUCAUCCCCUUUGACCUAAAUGUCUUACAAGUUACUUGUUAGCACACCAAUUGUAUCGCUAAUCACCAUCCAUUGUUGUGGGAUGUGCUGCAGCAUUUCCAGAGAACCUUACCUGUAACUUUGCAAAAUGAAUGUACUUAAGACAUUCUCAGUUUUUGGCAGACCGACUGUAAGUCCUCUUUGGACUUACCAGAUAUCUCAGAUAUCUUAGAGCAACAGUGGGAAUGUAAAACAUAACCUAAUUCCCUUUCCUAUAGAGAUUCUAUUUUAUUUAAAAUCUAUUUUUACACUAGUUAGAAUCCUGCUUUUUUGGCCAAGUACUUGUGUUGCAUGUCUGACCUUGCAGAAGCUGGGGUGGAUUGUAGCAUACUAAUGAAGAGAAUUACAAGUGCUUUACAAAGCUUGCACACUCCUCAUUUCUCUCUGAUCACCUCUAUCAAGCAGCUCUACCACCAGCUGGGAAAAUGCAGAUUUUCUGCAUAGGUGGGAUAAAUGUUCUGGAAGCCUGUUCCCAGAGAAAUGAGCAAAUGGGCAAAUGUUUCCAAACUACUUGAAGGUUUCUAAAAAAUGUUGCAGAAAAUAAAAAUCUUAUUAAGAUAUGGAAAGAAAAUGUUUUUUAAAAACCUGUUAAAAGAGUUAUGUUUGAAUUUGACAAAAUUACAUAAGAUAGACACUUGUCAGUGUUUUCUUCAGGGUGGAAAUGAACCACUUAACAUACCCAUACUACCUUGAACAAUGACAUUGCAUUAAAGUAACCAAACUUUGAAAUGAUUCUGUUUCAUGUGAAAUUUGUGUGUCUCCUAUUGACAUUUGCUUGGGAGUUCAUAUCUAAAUAAUGUAAGAAAGUGUCAAUGGCUUGGAUUUCAAUCUUGCAACAAUGUAGUGAGCAGCUAGGUUAUACUCAUUUUUCUGCCCCUUUGCUCCCAACUUUCCUAACAAUAAGUACCUGAACAAAUACAGGAUAGGAAAAAUUAUUUUAAUUUGGAGGCUCGGGGUAGAAGACCCAGGCACAACUCUUGCAAACCAAAAGCAAUGAAUUUAUACACCUAAGAUUUUUUCCUAGGCCCGACACCAUGCUGAGAUUGUUUUAUUUUUGGAAACUGUCACAAAAUGUGACUUCCUAGGAUACACUGAGGCAGACCCCCUCCUUGCAUAGUGAAAGUGUCCUCAUCAAAAGGGCUGAGGAACUCCUACCUAAAUAGCCAGCCAGCUGAGUGUGGAGAAUUUGGCAGAUCACAAAUGAACGACCGUCUGUCAUCACUUGGAAACCCCUCUCCUAGUGCAGUUGGGAUCCACAAGCUACGAAUACUACCCUUGAGAUUUGGCUGCUUUAUACCCGAUGCCACAUUGCUUGUGAUGAAGUCCAUGGGCUGAUCUAAAAAAGGAAAGCCACUCACAGCAUUUGAGGGAAAUUAUUUCGUUUUCUCCAGGAUAAAACUGAAUUAACUGUCGAGGUGAUUCUGCUAUGGUACUUCUUUCUUGGCAGCAGAAGGUCAUUUUUCAGGAGUCUCCAGCCCUGACUCCUGCUCCUUCAUGGCGCCGAGGGACAAUUAAGCCACUCAAAGACAUCACCUUUGGCGAGUUCAGGAAGCCACCAAGACCCAAAGUUGAUCCAGGCACCUGGCACUCACUGAGAAACCAGAGGCGGAAGCAUGUCCUGCCCUGUGGACGUUUGACUCCAAGCCUAGCUCCACUUCUUGGAUUUCGAACCACUUACCCAUCUACAGUUACGGUGCUGAGCACUUGCCAUGUCCUGUGUUCAUUCAGUCCUCAACAUCAGCCUGUGAGCUAGACAACAUGCAUUUUGAAAGCCGGGACCAUUUUCCUUCAUCUGCACAAGGCUUGGUCCUGAGAAUCCUCUCAACGCAGCACUGCUGGAAGGCAUGAAGGAACCAACACAGGCUCAGCAGAUGAAAUCAAGCAGACUUUGCAUGAUUGAA